GAAGUUGCACUUUAUACACUGUGCUUCUUCCUUGGUGGAGAGGACAACCAUGUCGAGCUCGGACCAUAUGCUGUUAAUAUCAAGUGUUAUCGAUUUGGAAACAAAAUGGGGUCAGUGUUUCCAAUAGCAGAGUGUUGAAGUUCCUUCCCUGAGAUUAAUCCAAUAAACAUCUAAGAAAGGAUUGUAUCAUAGAUUAAGAGAUGAGUAGUAUGAGAUGUAACACCUGUAGAAUGUGACAACAAUAGGUAUCAAUCACAAUAUGUGAUGGAAAAAGAUGAUUCUCAGGAUGUACUUAUUUCCUUCUAGGAGGAUACUGAAACUUUUGUAUUAUUACAUGGAUUUGCAAAUGGUUUUGUGAAGAUACUGAGUCCA
rnacentral:lncRNA from 1 species